AUGGGCCGUUCGCAACCGAAGACUUCACCGCACGACGUAAAGAGCGCGCCGUGCGCUGCCAGCGCUUUCCGGAAGAAGAGGAAGUAUCACAGCCUUUCUGAGGAUAGACAAGAAAAGCCUGCAGGCUGUCAAUCCAAUCUUGGAAUGUUAUCAAAUGUCCAAGUAAAACCAAGAAGAAUAAAAGAUGAAAAGCAAACAAACAAAUAAGAAGCUUUCUCCCCUCCUAUUCAAACAAGAAAACUCAAGUGAAUAAGGGUUAUGGGUUGUGACUUUAAAUUACACAACAAAAAGUUUGUUGACUCCUACUCACAAGCAUUUGAAGAAAGACUUUACUAAAAUAACUUGUUCUUUAUUCUCUCCUUUGGUUGCUUUUUGACUUUUCUAAUACAUUAGAAUUCCCGUUCAUCUACAAAUAUUUAUGCAUUCUUCUGCAUGCAACAAUAGGCAUGGAGACCUACUAAGUAAACAUCAUAAACUUACCUUUUCCAGAACCCUCUUGACUUCAUUUGUUGUGAAAGUCAAAUGAUUUGCAUUAGUACCAGACUUCUUAUGUGUAGGUACCCCCAGACUCAGAAAGCUGAGGGGCAUCUCUAACAUUUGAAAACUGAAAUAAAGAUAUACCAAAUAUAAAACA
rnacentral:lncRNA from 1 species